rnacentral:rRNA from 1 species
UACGUAGGGGGCAAGCGUUGUCCGGAUUUACUGGGUGUAAAGGGUGCUCAGGUGGUUAUGCAAGUCAGGGGUGAAAUCCUAGGGCUUAACUCUGGAACUGCCUUUGAUACUGCAUAGCUUGUGUACGGAAGAGGCUGAUGGAAUUCCUGGUGUAGCAGUGAAAUGCGUAGAUAUCAGGAAGAACACCAGUGGCGAAGGCGGUCAGCGGGUCCGUUACAGACACUCAAGCACGAAAGCGUGGGGAGCAAACAGG